rnacentral:misc_RNA from 1 species
CUCACUAUCGGAUCGUUUUAGAAACAUCAGUGGCCAACAGAUCGCCAGAUCGUUGAGCUGCAUUGGCGGGAUUUCGCCGUCUUCGUUUCUCUUUCUUCGCGGACGAACACGCGCUGGGCCUGCAACGGCAGGAUCCAGGGUCCUUAACGGGAUGUGCGUUAGGGGCUUGUAGCUCAGUUGGUUAGAGCGCGCGCUUGAUAAGCGUGAGGUCGGAAGUUCAAGUCUUCCCAGGCCCACCACUUUCAUCGAGUGAGCAUUCGUCUUCUGGUUACGGGGCCAUAGCUCAGCUGGGAGAGCGCGUGCUUUGCAAGCAUGAGGUCGUCGGUUCGAUCCCGUCUGGCUCCACCAGAUGGUUUGAUCACCGAGAUCUUGACCGUCGUCCGCGAAACAUCACUUCGCAUCCUGCUAGUCUGGAUAGACAGCAGUUUGCGUGUUUUCUGACAUCGUAAAGAGGAGAUCGAUCCGAGUUGGGUCGUGCAGCAUAUCGUUGCGCGAGCCUUCAUUAUCUCCGGAUCAUUUCGGCGCUCGCUUCCAGCCGUGAGGUUGGAUGCGGGUUGUAAAUGAUCCUUUUAGCGAAGCUUGACCGCCUCGCUAUCGGAACGAUCUUACGAAGCAAGCUGGUCUUUCUAGUCAAUGUCCGGCUGCGGAUAGCGUUCAUCGAGGGCGCGUGCCGCAAGGCAAUUCUGCAGACAACAUUCUGCCGAGUGUGUGGACAUUGAUAAUGAGAGCAAUCAAGUGCCUUAAGGGUGUUCGGUGGAUGCCUUGGCGCUGAGAGGCGAUGAAGGACGUGCUACGCUGCGAUAAGCCGUGGGGAGCUGCGAAGAAGCUUUGAUCCGCGGAUUU